rnacentral:ncRNA from 1 species
GGGCGGGAGUGCGGCUAAUACAAGACCCGUAAGGGGAAUAUGCCCGCCGUCUAGUCGCGGUUUUGAGCUCCCGCCCACCUUCCU